AUUGAACGCUGGCGGCAGGCCUAACACAUGCAAGUCGAGCGGAGCGGCGGACGGGUGAGUAAUGCCUAUGUAUCUGCCUGGUCGUGGGGGAUAACGUCCGGAAACGGGCGCUAAUACCGCAUCCUAUCAGAUGAGCCUAGGGGGGAUUAGCUAGUGGGUGGGGUAAAGGCUCACCAAGGCGACGAUCCCUACCUGGUCUGAGAGGAUGAUCAGCCACACUGGAACUGAGACACGGUCCAGACUCCUACGGGAGGCAGCAGUGGGGAAUAUUGGACAAUGGGCGAAAGCCUGAUCCAGCCAUGCCGCGUGUGUGAAGAAGGUCUUCGGAUUGUAAAGUACUUUAAGUUGGGAGGCGUUACCCACAGAAGAAGCACCGGCUAACUUCGUGCCAGCAGCCGCGGUAAUAC
rnacentral:rRNA from 1 species